rnacentral:rRNA from 1 species
GACGAACGCUGGCGGCGUGCUUAACACAUGCAAGUCGAACGGAAAGGCCCUGCUUUUGUGGGGUGCUCGAGUGGCGAACGGGUGAGUAACACGUGAGUAACCUGCCCUUGACUUUGGGAUAACUUCAGGAAACUGGGGCUAAUACCGGAUAGGAGCUCCUGCUGCAUGGUGGGGGUUGGAAAGUUUCGGCGGGUGGGGAUGGACUCGCGGCUUAUCAGCUUGUUGGUGGGGUAGUGGCUUACCAAGGCUUUGACGGGUAGCCGGCCUGAGAGGGUGACCGGCCACAUUGGGACUGAGAUACGGACCAGACUCCUACGGGAGGCAGCGGUGGGGAGUAUUGCACAAUGGGCGGAAGCCUGAUGCAGCAACGCCGCGUGCGGGAUGACGGCCUUCGGGUUGUAAACCGCUUUCGCCUGUGACGAAGCGUGAGUGACGGUAAUGGGUAAAGAAGCACCGGCUAACUACGUG